rnacentral:rRNA from 1 species
AUUGAACGCUGGCGGCAUGCCUUACACAUGCAAGUCGAACGGCAGCGGGGGAGAAGCUUGCUUCUCCUGCCGGCGAGUGGCGAACGGGUGAGUAAUACAUCGGAACGUGCCCUGUAGUGGGGGAUAACUAGUCGAAAGAUUAGCUAAUACCGCAUACGACCUGAGGGUGAAAGUGGGGGACCGCAAGGCCUCAUGCUAUAGGAGCGGCCGAUGUCUGAUUGGCUAGUUGGUGGGGUAAAGACCUACCAAGGCGACGAUCAGUAGCUGGUCUGAGAGGACGAUCGGCAACACGGGGCAUGAGACACGGCCCAGACUCCUCGGGGGGGCGGCAGUGGGAAAUUUUGGACAAUGGGCGAAAGCCGGAUCCAGCAAUGCCGCGUGAGGGAAGAAGGCCUUCGGGUUGUAAAGCGCUUUUGUCAGGAAAGAAAGGGCUCUGGUUAAUACCUGGGGUCGAUGACGGUACCGGAAGAAUAAGGACCGGCUAACUACGUGCCAGCCGCCGCCGUAA